rnacentral:rRNA from 1 species
UACGUAGGGGGCAAGCGUUGUCCGGAUUUAUUGGGCGUAAAGAGCGUGUAGGCGGCCAUACAGGUCAGCUGUGAAAACUCGAGGCUCAACCUCGAGACGUCGGUUGAAACCGUAUGGCUAGAGUCCGGAAGAGGAGAGUGGAAUUCCCGGUGUAGCGGUGAAAUGCGCAGAUAUCGGGAAGAACACCGAUGGCGAAGGCAGCUCUCUGGGACGGUACUGACGCUGAGACGCGAAAGCGUGGGGAGCAAACAGG